ACUCUAUUUCUAUUUCUCUUGACAUGACUAAAGAAAAAUAAUCUAAGUCCUCUUAAUAUUGCUAAUGUGUCAGCAAUGAAUGUUCCAAAAUAAGAUUCUAUUGACUUUUCUUGUUUAAGAGCUUUCACUACUUCAUAGCUAUCACUUUCUAUGAUUACUUCAUUGAAACAACAAUGUUUAGCAAAUUCUGCUCCCAAAUAGGCUGCAUAUGCCUCAGCCUCAUGGGUCUCUAAGUGAAAAGGUAUGACCCAACUAGCUGCCCCCAAGAUUAAACCCAUCUCAUCCCUUGCAAUUACACCCACACCUCCAUGCACAUCUCUUGAUAUGGAUGCAUCAACAUUAAUUUUAACAAUUCUGGUUGGUGGCACCUCUCAAGUCUCUCUUAAUUGAGUCAAUAAAGAGUCAACUACCCUUAAUUUCUUAUUUCUUGAGUUUACCUUCAGAAAAUCUUCAAAGUCCUUCAUCACACACUCAAUCUCCUCUUCAAUUGUUGCAUUUGUUCCUUCGAAUACCUGCACGUUGCGGGAUCGCCAAAGUUGGUUGAACAGCACACAAAACAUGGCUUUCCUUUUCUCAUCUAACUUUUCUAAUAAAUUAAACAUCCAAUUUUUCAGCCCUUGAUUUUUUGUAGGUUCAUUUCUUAGUGUUAGAGGCGACGCAAACCAGAAUUUUCUUGCAUACCAAUAGUCCCUCACCACAUGGGCUUCUGAUUCGUCUUCUUCUCCGCAUCUUGGACAACUGGAAGCAACAUUAAUUCCUCUUCGCUUCAAGUUCAGCUUCGUUGGGAGGGAGUUAUAGAUCAAUUGCCAUAUGAAAUUGAGCACCCUUGGUGGAGCUUGAAUUUUUCAAAUAUUCUUCCAAGUGUUGUACAUGGGUUCUAAGAUAUGCCUCCUUCCACUCCAAUGUUGCUAGGGCUCUGUCGAGUCUUUCUUGGAUGUUGUUGUCCCCUCCCUGUCUAUUUGUCCAAGUACAUGGGUGAC